UGGGGAAUAUUGGACAAUGGGCGAAAGCCUGAUCCAGCCAUGCCGCGUGUGUGAAGAAGGUCUUCGGAUUGUAAAGCACUUUAAGUUGGGAGGAAGGGCAGUAAGUUAAUACCUUGCUGUUUUGACGUUACCGACAGAAUAAGCACCGGCUAACUCUGUGCCAGCAGCCGCGGUAAUACAGAGGGUGCAAGCGUUAAUGGGAAUUACUGGGCGUAAAGCGCGCGUAGGUGGUUUGUUAAGUUGGAUGUGAAAGCCCCGGGCUCAACCUGGGAACUGCAUCCAAAACUGGCAAGCUAGAGUACGGUAGAGGGUGGUGGAAUUUCCUGUGUAGCGGUGAAAUGCGUAGAUAUAGGAAGGAACACCAGUGGCGAAGGCGACCACCUGGACUGAUACUGACACUGAGGUGCGAAAGCGUGGGGAGCAAACA
rnacentral:rRNA from 1 species